CCAAGCUACUGACUGUUGGUGAGCCACCCUGCUGCGAGCUAUUCCCCUUGCCUGAGGGAGGACUCUGCUAUCUGCUUCCUUGACCUUGGACCCGGCAGCCCACAUGUCAUGGUGCCAGUUCCGACGCCUAACCACAACAGAACCGACACUGCCCGGUCCUGGCUACCCUCACCAUGGUCGCUCUGGGGAGUUCAAGAGGGGUGCACGCGGUGACUGCGGCAAUGGACUGACGCCGAAGAACCAUGGUACUAUUCUUGUGGGACAGCUGCAGCCAUCACAGCUGGAAUUGACAGCUAAGGAGACAAAGGCCCUGUAAAG